rnacentral:rRNA from 1 species
GACGAACGCUGGCGGCGCGCUUAACACAUGCAAGUCGAACGGAAAGGCCUGCUUUCCCUUGUGGAUUUCGGGUACUCGAGUGGCUAACGGGUGAGUAACACGUGAGUGAUCUGCCCCCAACUUGGGUAUAAGCCUGGGAAACUGGGUCUAAUUCCCGAUAGGACUGCAGGGUGGUGCCUGUGGUGGAAAACGAUUUUCUAGUGGUUGGGGAUGAGCUCGCGGCCUAUCAGCUUGUUGGUGGGGUAAUGGCCUACCAAGGCGGCGACGGGUAGCCGGCCUGAGAGGGUGGACGGCCACAUUGGGACUGAGAUACGGCCCAGACUCCUACGGGAGGCAGCAGUGGGGAAGAAUGCACAAUGGGCGGAAGCCUGAUGCAGCGACGCCGCGUGGGGGAUGACGGCCUUCGGGUUGUAAACUCCUUUCGACCGCGAGGAAGCCACCUGGUUGGAAGGGUGGUGACGGUAGUGGUAGAAGAAGCACCGGCUAACUACGUG